AAAGAACAGGAAAAUAUUUAUUGACCAAAAUAAUAAUAAAAAACAAUACAGGUUCUUCAAGAGUUCUAUAUUUUGCAUAGAUCCCUUGUCAUUUAUUUUUUUUAACCCAGGGGCUCAUUCCCCCAAUCUGAUCUCUCCAACAACAAUAACAAUAACACCUAGUGGCUUAGGAGUGCUGACUAAGGGUAGUGCCAAAACAUUCAUCUUACCCAGGGGGGCUCACCUCUCCUCCUCUCCAAUACCAACGCCCUGUGGCUUUGGAGAACUGACUCAGUCUGAACAGUGCCUCACCCCCACCCACCCCAAGUAUGGGAGAGCUAAAACACUGUCUUACAUUCAUCGUACCCAGGGGCUCACCUCUCACUCUCUCCAGUAGCAACACACUGUGGUUUCAAGGAAAGCUAACAUAUCGUCUUCAGAAAUCUUUUGCAUUUUUCCUUAAAAACUAUACGUACGAAUGUAUAUAUGAAUGUGUGUAUAUAUAUAUAUAUAUAUGUUCUCUUUCUAAUUUCUUAAGUUCUUCCUUUGAAGAAGGAGCCUGGCUUCUAGCAAAAAAUACAAAACUCUAUCAUUGGAAUGUAGAUAACUCGAGAAAAGUCUUGCAUAUUUUUACUGUUCCACUUACAAAUUGUAUUUGUAAUGUGUGAGUUAGUUGGUUAAUUUCUGUGUGUGUGUAUAAACUUAGGACUUUCAUCAUAUAUAUAUAUAUAUAUAUAUAUAUAUAUAUAUAUAUAUAUAUGUAUAUAUGACACAUAUUCAAUGUAUGUGUUCUGCUUGUUUGCCAGUUCGCUGUCUGCAACACUAGUGUUGCUUUGAAUUCAUAAUUGAAUGUUUUUAUAUAGAUAAUAUACAUGUGUGUGUGUGUGUAUAUAUAUAUAUAUAGUCUAUAUAUACACACACACACAUAAAAUAUAAAUAAUAUACAUGUGUGUAUAUAUAAUGUAUGUUUAUAUAUAUAUAAAAUUCUUAAUGAAUUAAUUUGGAUGUGAGAGUGUGUGUAUAUAUACACAAACAUACAUAUAAAAUAUAGAUAAUAUACAUGUGUGUGUAUAUAAUGUAUGUUUAUAUAUAUAUAUAAAAUUCUUAAUGAAUUAAUUUGAAUGUGUGUGUGUACACACAUAAAAUAUAGAUAAUAUACGUGUGUGUAUAUAAUGUUUAUAUAUAUAAAAUUCUUAAUGAAUUAAUUUGAAUGUAUGUGUGUGUGUGUAUAUAU
rnacentral:lncRNA from 1 species